UUUCAAACUAGGUCGAAAUAUUUAUCAAAUAAGUCUUAAAAAUUGAGUAGCAUAGAAUUCAAAAGUCAAAUAAUUAAAUCAAUUUAGACUCAAGUUUCAGAAUGAAACCUAAAAUUUAAUCUCAAAUUGACUCUAAAUUUGAAUAAAUACUUUGGAUAUUUACCCUCACUGCAAUUUUUCCUUAUUUGUCUAUUAAUUUUAACAGAAGACGAA
rnacentral:misc_RNA from 1 species